CGUAGGGCGCAAGCGUUGUCCGGAAUUAUUGGGCGUAAAGAGCUCGUAGGCGGCUUGUCACGUCGGAUGUGAAAGCCCGGGGCUUAACCCCGGGUCUGCAUUCGAUACGGGCUAGCUAGAGUGUGGUAGGGGAGAUCAGAAUUCCUGGUGUAGCGGUGAAAUGCGCAGAUAUCAGGAGGAACACCGGUGGCGAAGGCGGAUCUCUGGGCCAUUACUGACGCUGAGGAGCGAAAGCGUGGGGAGCGAACAGGAUUAGAUACCCUGGUAGUCCACGCCGUAAACGUUGGGAACUAGGUGUUGGCGACAUUCCACGUCGUUGGUGCCGCAGCUAACGCAUUAAGUUCCCCGCCUGGGGAGUACGGCCGCAAGGCUA
rnacentral:rRNA from 1 species